AAAAAUAAAAACUUAAAUAUAAUUUUAAUUAAAAUUUUAAUUAAAUUUUAACCAAAUCCUAGAUCAAAUCCUAAUUAAAAUUCUAAUUGAAUUUUAAAAAAAUCUUAGAUCAAAUCCUAAUAAAAUCCUAGAUAAAUCAUAAUCAAAUCCAAGUCAAGUUCUAAACCAAAUCCUAAUUCUAACCAAAUAUAAGACUAAAUUUUAAG
rnacentral:lncRNA from 1 species